CCGCCGCGUAAUUACUGGCAGCGCGAGCCGGUUACUUAUAGUAACUUAUAGUAACUGCCUCGCGCUGCCAGUAAUUACGCGGUGGG
rnacentral:pre_miRNA from 1 species